rnacentral:lncRNA from 1 species
CAAUCGAUACACUGCCCUUAAUACUUCCUUGAAAUUGCGUGAGGUUGUUUUUGUGGAAUGUCGAAAGCGGUUUGAAGCGACUCUAUAACGAACAUUAUGCCCAAUUAUGAAUAAAAAAGUGGCAACCUUAUCUUCGACAAGUACAUCUCUUGAGUCACUUAGAUAGUUCUUCCCUCUUAAUUCCUUCUUCAUCCGAAAUAAAUCAAAACAACUUGUUUCAUAUCCAUUUAAUACUUCAGCAACAAAUUCACGACCAAAUAAUAAUGGAGAAGUCAGG